GCGCUACACUGAUGCAUUCAACAAGCCUAUCCCUAGCCGAAAGGCUCGGGUAAUCUUUGAAACUGCAUCGUGAUGGGGAUAGAUUAUUGCAAUUAUUAGUCUUCAACGAGGAAUGCCUAGUAAGCGCAAUUCAUCAGAUUGCGUUGAUUACGUCCCUGCCCUUUGUACACACCGCCCGUCGCUCCUACCGAUUGGGUGUGCUGGUGAAGUGUUCGGAUUGGCAAUUAUCGGUGGCAACACCGUCGAUUGCCGAGAAGUUCAUUAAACCCUCCCACCUAGAGGAAGGAGAAGUCGUAACAAGGUUUCCGUAGGUGAACCUGCGGAAGGAUCAUUGAAUAUGCAAACCACAACACGCACUCUCUACUUGUGUCUGACGUUAGGUCAACAUGCGCAAGCAUGUGGCCUACUAACCUACACACCAUUGACCAACCAGUUAUCAAACCAAACUCUGAAGCUUUGGCUGCUGUUAACCGGCAGUUUUAACAAAGAACAACUCUCAACAACGGAUAUCUUGGCUCUCGCAACGAUGAAGAACGCAGCGAAAUGCGAUACGUAGUGUGAAUUGCAGAAUUCCGUGAACCAUCGAAUCUUUGAACGCAUAUUGCGCUCGACUCCUCGGAGAAGAGCAUGUCUGCCUCAGCGUCGGCUUACACCCUCACCCCUCUUCCUUAACAGGAGGCGCCUGUCGUGCUUGCUCAAGCCGGCAGCAGGGGUGGAUCUGGCUCUCCCAAUUGGUUCACUCCGAUUGGGUUGGCUGAAGCACAGAGGAUUAAACUGGGACCCAAUUCGGGCUCAACUGGAUAGGUAGCAACACCCUCGGGUGCCUACACGAAGUUGUGUCUGAGGACCUGGUUAGGAUCCAAGCAGGAAACAUGCCUCUAGCAUGUACUCUGUAUUCGACCUGAGCUCAGGCAAGGCUACCCGCUGAACUUAAGCAUAUCACUAAGCGGAGGAAAAGAAACUAACAAGGAUGCGCUUAGUAACGGCGAGCGAACCGCGCAAAGCCCAACUUGAAAAUCUCCCUCGGAGAAUUGUAGUCUAUAGAAGUACCCUCUGCAACGGGCUGAGCUAAAGUCUCCUGGAAAGGGGCGUCAGAGAGGGUGAGAACCCCGUAAGCUCACGCUUUGUUGCCUCACGAGGUGCUUUCGAAGAGUCGGGUUGCUUGGGAAUGCAGCCCAAAUUUGGUGGUAAAUCC
rnacentral:rRNA from 1 species